GACGUAGGGCGCGAGCGUUGUCCGGACUUAUUGGGCGUAAAGAGCUCGUAGGCGGCUUGUCGCGUCGACUGUGAAAUCCCGCGGCUCAACUGCGGGUCUGCAGUCGAUACGGGCAGGCUAGAGUUCGGUAGGGGAGACUGGAAUUCCUGGUGUAGCGGUGAAAUGCGCAGAUAUCAGGAGGAACACCGAUGGCGAAGGCAGGUCUCUGGGCCGAUACUGACGCUGAGGAGCGAAAGCGUGGGGAGCGAACAGG
rnacentral:rRNA from 1 species